GCGCAAAACCCUGAAAUAAAAGGGCUAAAGAUUUUGUAGCAAGUGAAGGCGCGAACAAGAAAUUGAGAGUUGAGAUGGUGAAGGCUAUGGCUGGCGACUUUGGACGAAGGCGCGGUCUGUUCAGCUUGGAACUAUGCCGCCAACAGAUUAGCCACCGAUUCGGUGGCCGGAACCCUCGUCAUCUUCGAUUCUCCUGGCCCUUCUUCCUCAUCGGCGUCCUUAACUCGCACCUCAAUCUUCAAGGAUAGGGGAUUUGGUAGCUGAACUGUUGGCUGAGAAAAUCUCGUGAACAUCAGGUUCUGGAUGUUGUACAUUAUGAGCCCCUCCUACAUCGCUCCUAUGGCAUGGCGAUGGAAUGAAGUAGUUCGAGUCAGCUGUGGCUGGGGAUAUAAAUGGCUGAGUAUAGCUUCCCAAGGUGCUGUGAGUAUCGAUGGCUAAAUGUGAAAAGCCACCAUUUACAAUGUCCUUACAUCCUGCAGAAGUUGAGCCGAAGCAGAAGCUGAUGAUGGUCGUGGUCAUUUUCCUUCUUUUCUUGUAUUUUUGGUGAAUGACAUGAUUGGGCUAAAUAGUUUCCUUGGGAACAAGUGUGCUUUCCUCGAUAGGUAAUGUCAAACACAGAAUGAUCUUCAUCUGAUCUCUGCACUUGCUUUAUUGCCCAACAAUUCUGUGUAUUGCGGAAAGUGCAUCUAUAGUAGCUUCUGCAAGUACACAACAAACAGGUAUUAGAUUUAUUGAUGAAGGAGAAGUCAUCUCACCUGGGAAAUGUUGCACCAAGUAUGUCCUUUUGGCCAUAUUUUCUCCAGCUAUAACCAUCCUCAUGGGGUCCUUCGAAUCCCGUCUCGGAGUUCACUUUCACUUGUUCUGUCCAUCUGGGCUGUGUCUUUCUGUAAUCACAGAAUCAUAAAGAUUUUUUUAUUUGUUUCCAAGAAUUGAACUUGUUUACUAACUAAGCUCAUAUUUGUUCUAAGGUUGACUUUGAAAAGCUGGAAAGAAAAUUCUUAAAUUCACCUCUUCAUUGAUUCUUUUCUGGGGUCCUGAGGGUCCUUGAGGCCUUUACCAGAGUCAUCACUAGAAAGACUUCCAUUAACAGAAAUUGGAGAGCCUGGCAAAGCAAAAGCUGCUUCUACCAUUUGAGAUGCUGAACUCAACUCUGCUUUCAACUGCUUGGUAAGUCAAGAAGCAGAAGCUAGAGGAAAUGGAAGACCCAAAUGGUAAAGAAUCAGAGACAACAAACAUGGAAGUAGCCAGAUGAGGUAAUUUGGUUAACUGGGUAUAUUUGUGUUUAUUUAAAACUGAACUGAGAGAGAAGAAGAAGAAGAAUGCUUUGGUUUUAAUAAGAACCGAUCUUGGUUUUAUACAAGUUCAAAAAGGAAGACAACUUUAUUUCAUUUUUCUUAAAAGAAAAUGCUGUUGAACAGUUAGAAGUUGGGGAAACUUUGACUGAGACAGCCCCCUCAGUUGCUUUCUGGUCUUUGGUCAUUGGCUGAGUGGAGUAAGAUUAGUGUGGAAGUCCAGGUUCUAAAGCUGACCAAGUCCACUUCCACUUCAUAAUUUAACUUCCAAAAGGGUUUCUGUUUCUCUCUCUAGAUCCUACGGCUGUGAUUUGUUGAGAAUGAAAAUUUCAUAAUUGAGAUAGUGAGACAAGUGGAAAGUCAGAGUUCAAGCUUGGAGAGUAGACUAAGAAUUUUCAAACCUUUCGUCCGCGUUGUGGUAUAGUAAACAACUACUUUUCAUCUUUA